UACGAAGGGGGCUAGCGUUGUUCGGAAUUACUGGGCGUAAAGCGCACGUAGGCGGGUAUUUAAGUCAGGGGUGAAAUCCCGCAGCUCAACUGCGGAACUGCCUUUGAUACUGGGUAUCUUGAGUAUGGAAGAGGUAAGUGGAAUUCCGAGUGUAGAGGUGAAAUUCGUAGAUAUUCGGAGGAACACCAGUGGCGAAGGCGGCUUACUGGCCCGGUACUGACGCUGAGGCACGAAAGCGUGGGGAGCAAACAGG
rnacentral:rRNA from 1 species